UGGGCUUGCCCAGGCAAGGAGGAGUGAGAUGGGACAAUAGCAGGCAGCUUGUGAAAAAAAUAAAAAAAGGGAAGAUAAAAAGCCAAAAAAGAAAUGUCUAGGUGGGAAAGCAGACAAAUUUUUGUGGUGUUCAGAAACUUCUGGUAGUUUCCAGUUACAGGAAUAUUGUAACAGGCUGAUCCCGGGAUCAACAUAUCCUACUGUGUAUUAAUAAGCUGCUGCCACGGUCCCUGUACCAGCAAUGGCAGCUUCCAGCAGCAGCAGCAGCGAGGAGGAGCGUAGCCUUCGGGAGUGUGAACUUUACAUCCAAAAACACAACAUCCAACAGCUUCUGAAGGAUUGUAUUGUACAGUUAUGCACAGUGAGACCUGAAAGACCCAUGGGAUUCAUCAGAGAGUACUUUGAAAGAUUGGAGAAGGUAAUAGUACAGGAUGGGAGGGAAGGAGAGUGGGACAACCUGAAUUUAAAUUUGUGCUCGUGAUUUAGGGGCUGAGCUGCAGAUUUGACCAGUGUCCGUGUGCUGGGUGUUUGAAAUUGGAAGUGGUGCUUUUGGAAAAAAAAAUCAUGUUCUCCAGCAGUUUGUACACCUCUGUCAUACCAAAACAUGUAGGACAGAGCAUUAGCUGACAAGGAGACUUAUCCAGCUGGGAUGCAGAUGUAAUCCCAGUCCAGUGCUUACUCAUAGGAGCUGAUUGUCAGCGUGCACGAGGGUGUUUGUGGCUGGAUGACUGUGGAGUUUGACCUUGGAUGGGCACUGCUGAUGUCAUUUGGCUUCUUGCGUUGAGACAACUGGUUUUCAAUAAUUGGGGUAGAGCACAGGAGUGGUGCCAGUGGUAUUAUCCAGGCCUAGUGAAGCCAAAUGGAAGUAUUUGCAUUCCAGAUCUCUGGAAGGGCAAGCCCGUUCCUGCCUUCUCUAGGGAGUUCAGCGUUCUGCUUUGUUGUUCCUCUUGCAUUUGUCCUGAGGUGUCUUUGGCGUUUUUGUUGCUGUUGGAAGCAUUCUGGGAUGUUGGGAAUGGAAACCCUUCGCAGCUGAAACAGUGAUUUCCCACUCUUUUGAGCUGUCAGUUUUGUGUAUUGAUAUCCAGGCAGGUGGGAAAAGAAGCUGCAGUGGAAAUGGGAAGUUUAAAGUCUUGUGCAGAGGAAAGGUUGGGUGCAAUGACUGUACUCAGGAUAUAGGAUUUGUAAAUAAUGCAGCUGUGACCUUGUACAGCAGUGUUUGCAAAGUGCUGCUUUCAGGACUUGCUGUACAUGGGAGUUAUACCUAUUUCAUAUAUUUAUUUUUUUUUAAUUCUAGUUCGUUGCUAAUUGCAGAUGUAAAUAAAAGACAUUAACACUAGAGAGCAUAAAUAUGUGCAGUGGAAAUUGUAUUUUAAUGGAAGCUUUUAAGG